rfam:Cavia porcellus supercont2_30 genomic scaffold, whole genome shotgun sequence.
AUUGCAUCUCUACCUUUUGACCAAGAUUAAGUGUAGUAUCUCUUCUUCUCAGUUCAAUACCUGAUAUGGCUUCUAUCCAAAGAAAAUGGAUUUUUGAGAUACACUAAUUGGUUUCAUUUAUACUGUUAGCUUAUCUUAGUUCAUUAAAAGGAAAGAUUAUGUCAU